rnacentral:pre_miRNA from 1 species
GCCCCCGGUGCCUACUGAGCUGACACGCAGUCGUUGGUCGCACACUGGCUCAGUUCAGCAGGAACAGGGGU